rnacentral:rRNA from 1 species
UGACUUUGAUUCUGGCUCAGGAUGAACGCUAGCUACAGGCUUAACACAUGCAAGUCGAGGGGAAACGACAUCGAAAGCUUGCUUUUGAUGGGCGUCGACCGGCGCACGGGUGAGUAACGCGUAUCCAACCUGCCCAUCACUUGGGGAUAACCUUGCGAAAGUAAGACUAAUACCCAAUGACGUCUCUAGAAGACAUCUGAAAGAGAUUAAAGAUUUAUCGGUGAUGGAUGGGGAUGCGUCCGAUUAGCUUGUUGGCGGGGUAACGGCCCACCAAGGCAACGAUCAGUAGGGGUUCUGAGAGGAAGGUCCCCCACAUUGGAACUGAGACACGGUCCAAACUCCUACGGGAGGCAGCAGUGAGGAAUAUUGGUCAAUGGGCGAGAGCCUGAACCAGCCAAGUAGCGUGCAGGAUGACGGCCCUAUGGGUUGUAAACUGCUUUUAUAAGGGAAUAAAGUGAGUCUCGUGAGACUUUUUGCAUGUACCUUAUGAAUAAGGACCGGCUAAUUCCGUGCCAGCAGCCGCGGUAAUACGGAAGGUCCGGGCGUUAUCCGGAUUUAUUGGGUUUAAAGGGAGCGUAGGCCGGAGAUUAAGCGUGUUGUGAAAUGUAGACGCUCAACGUCUGCACUGCAGCGCGAACUGGUUUCCUUGAGUACGCACAAAGUGGGCGGAAUUCGUGGUGUAGCGGUGAAAUGCUUAGAUAUCACGAAGAACUCCGAUUGCGAAGGCAGCUCACUGGAGCGCAACUGACGCUGAAGCUCGAAAGUGCGGGUAUCGAACAGGAUUAGAUACCCUGGUAGUCCGCACGGUAAACGAUGGAUGCCCGCUGUUGGUCUGAAUAGGUCAGCGGCCAAGCGAAAGCAUUAAGCAUCCCACCUGGGGAGUACGCCGGCAACGGUGCAACUCAAAUGAAUUGACGGA